ACACAUCUGAGUGGUCUAAUUGCUGUGAAUUGACACCGGUUACAGUCCAUAAUGGGAGCUUGGGAGUCUUUCCUAACCGCAGUUCAUUCAGCCGCCCCUCGCUGCAACUUAACUGCCCUUAAAAUGUCUGAUUGCAACAUGGGAGCUGUGGGGCGAGACAGGAUUAUCAGUCUUUGUUGUGUGACUGUGUCUAUUAUCCUGACCUCUAUUCACAAUGGGCCCUUAGGAGUGUCGCUUCCAGCCACACAGCAAACUACCCCAUACCCGACAAACAACAAGUGAAUCAGAGAUCUCCCCCUGUCCCAAUGCUCUAGACACUUACAGCUCCAACACUUGGCAAAGCGCACCACUGCAGGCCGAAUUAGUGGAAGGAGCUUUAUGUUCAUACAUGUGGAAUUUCAUCAUAGCAAUUCAAUAAAGGUUGUAAUGGUCCUUGAAUGGCUGCUAGGACCCGUACAGUUCAUACCUCAGCACUAAAGCAGGAGACGGGUUGGUCUAAGGUCCCGUUGCGAGGCACUGGUAGAUAAAGCACACUCCAGACAAUGGCCUGUUCUGCUCAUGCAGAUGAUGGUGUGCAAUAUCAAAGCCAAAUGAGAUGGCUGCCAAUUAGGGAGGGCUUCCAAGUGCAUUUCAAUGCAAACUCGCACCGCUUUUGCAGCUGGGCUGCCCUGCCUCACUUGGAUGCAUCAACAAAGCUUGAAGUGGCCACUCUAAUCUGGAAACUCUGUUUGGGCCAUGCAUACAGGAACUGCUGACACGGAAAGAUUUAGCUAUUAUAGCAUAUCAUUACAUGAAUAAAAUAUGCAUAUGAUUACAUGAAAAAGUUUGUUCAAUGAUUCUUCAAUUUGGGUUUGUUGGGAUAGAAGGGGGAGGGGGCGCGCAGCAGGCUUUGUCAAUACCUUGCAAAGUAAUAGGCCGAUGACCUGGGUUAAUAAUUAACACCAAAAUUACAAAAAGCAGUUUGGUAAUUUUUCAAUAGAGAACUGUAUAGCUUCAUGGGUAACAUAAGCUUUCAGACACCGAGAAAGAAUAACAAGAACUACAAUAAUUGCACUUAUAACUUCUUUGUGGUUGCUUUUUGUGCUCUGCAUUGUCGUGCACGUUCUCCUGACUCUUGGGGCUUCAAAACACGUUUCCUUUUUAUCUCAUACGUUCUGGUCAUUUUCUUGAAACAGUAAGGACCUGCGGUGGUAAGAAAAUCAUUUAUGACUUCCUAUGUCCUGGCCAGUCCUCCAGGGGUCCUGCACAGUGUCAGGGGAAUGUAGAUGAGCCCACCUCAGCAGACUCCUUUUUGCCAUUUUUUUUUUUUCUGAUAGACCUGCAGAUGGGUUCUUGUGCACUCAGACCCCCAACGGGACCCUUUAUCCUUGCUCUAAAAAUGACCAUCUGAGCUCCUCAUCAUAGCCGGUUCAAGAGAGGGUGAGGCCUUUUUUCAACCCAUCAUGUUCCUGUUGCCCAGAAACAUUUCUGAUUUACAUGUACUGCCUAAAAUUAAACAUUAUUCAUCUGUU